AUUGAACGCUGGCGGCAGGCCUAACACAUACCAUUCGAGCGAGCAGCGGACGGGUUAGUAAUGUAUGGGAAUCUGCCCGAUAGAGGGGGCUCACUACUGGAAACGGUGGCUAAUACCGCCUACUAUCGGGUGAACCCAUCUGGGAUUGGCUAGGAGGGGGGGUAAAGGAUCACCUAGGCGCAGAUCUCUAGCUGGGCUGAGAGGAGGUUCCGCCACACUGGGACUGAGAACCGGCCCAGACUGCUACGGGAGGCAGCAGUGGGGAAUAUGGCAAAAGGGGCGCAAGCCUGAUGCAGCCAUGCCGCGUGUAUGAAGAAGGCCGUAGGGUUGUAAAGUACUUUCAGCGGGGAGGCGUUACCCGCAGAAGAAGCACCGGCUAAAUCCGUGCCAGCAGCCGCGGUAAUUC
rnacentral:rRNA from 1 species